GAUGGGCUCCCCAAAAGAGCAAAAGCAACCAACAAUAACAAUAACUCCCAGAGAGGAUGAACGCACCAAAAUAGGAUUCCAUAUUUUGGUAGAGUAAGCUAUGCUUAAGACAAAUGUGGUAAAAUUGCAUGAGCAGCCACCAAACAUGGGAAUAAAAAGAAAGAGACUCACUCAGUUUUAACACAGCCAGCCCAACCCCACAGUCCUGCAUGCAGCUGCUCCUGGAGAAAUGAACAGCUAAUUUCAACAGGGCUGCUGAAUAAUGAAGACUUAAAAGGCAAAAUCUGAAUGGGAUCUGAUCCCUUGCCUCCAUCGUUAGAAAACAUACAGCUGUACAUCAAAGCCAGAAUGGCUUCCUCCCUCAUUAGAGCUGAGGGAGGCUCAAGACACCAGGGCUCUUCAAGGAUACUCCUAAUGAGAUCCAAGGAUAGCCUGAAAGUGAGCUCCAGACAAGACGUUUACAAGGCAGACACUGGGAGGCCUGCUUCCUUCCAGGUACCAAUUGCCACACAGGCAAUUUAGGUAAAUUGUCAUGACUUGAACUGCAGAGUAUAAAUUAUGGUGAAAUGACUAAAAAGGAAACUUCCCUAAAUGAAUGUUAUUAAUUCUUAAAGCAUUGCUAUCCAAUUCUACCAAAGCAUCGCUCAAUCACAGUCCCGUUUAUUUCCAUAUCCCAGUCUGCUUAACAUUAGACUAUGAUCGACAGAAUGAUUUUAGACACUUGACCUACAGAGAAACAGUCAAGAGAAGGCAUGCAGAGGAUAACAUGUCUUGCAAAUGUCACUUAAAAUAGUAGCUCAUGCCCCUCUAGAAAGAAGGUGGAAAGAAUUCAGAAUAGAAGCAAAGAUCAAGAAGACUACAUUCAUUUAGAGGCAAAGAGGGAGAUGGUUUGGGGGGAAGAUCACGUGAUAUCACUUGCCCUAAUCAUCAGAGGACACAACUGACAGCCACCACAAAGAACAAACGAACAAACUCUCUAGACGAACUAGAGAGAUGUCUCAAUGGUUAAGAGCUUUGUUGAUCUUGCAGGGGACCUGAGUUUGGUUCUCAGCACCCACAAAGCAGCUCACAACCAUCUUUAAUGUCAGUUCAGGGGAUCUCAUGACCUCUUCUGACUUCCACAGGAUGCACACAGGACACAUCUAUACAUGCAGGC